rnacentral:lncRNA from 1 species
ACCUCUAGUAACAGCAUGAAUUGAUGAGGUGGAAUAUCCCAUUUUCAGACAAUUCAUUUGAUUAGAAACUUUUUAAAAAUUAUAUUGGAUUGAAAUCUACCUCCCUAUAAUUUCCAGUACUUGACCUUUUGAUCUUUAAGAUCUAGAGGGCAUUCUCACCGGGGCGCGGAUACUUGCAUGUGUAAUUUUAUUUUAUUAAGAAUUAAUAGAAAGGCCAGGACCAAACCUGUGUGUUUAUGGGGCUGUGAGGCCCAUCUAGGCAUUUUCAGUGCCUUGCUUUGGUAGUUUAAGCUACAUUAACUUUAAGUUAUUUUAAAUUGUGGGCGUAUACUUAAAUAGGUGCUUAUAUUUUGGGAGGUUAUUGUGUUGUAAUUUUAAAUUUAUUUGUGGUAGAUUGACUUAAAAAUCUAGGGAGGUAGGUGCCUGCUUUCGUAGCACGUAUUUAAGUAGGUGCUUUAUAAGAUAUAGUGGGUUGUGUGGUCCUGUGUGGUUAAAUGUUGUUUAGUGUAAGUUAAGCUUUAUUGUAUUUACACACUUUGCUUUGUUUUUGGGGUUUGGCAAGGCAUUAUAGGGUGUGUAGAGCAUAAGUUUAAUGGGGGGUAAGGGGGGUUUGAGUGAGCUAAUAAUUUACCUGCUUAUACGCGCGUGUACGCACGUGUACGCACGUUAUGUCCUGUAACCAUUGACUGAAUAACACCCUGUUUAAGUAUCGUGCCGGGUCAUGAAUAUCAUGAAGUCUAGCUACAAUUGAUUUGACUGUGUUAGGGCCUCAGACGGCCAUGGCUGAGUCUAAGCAUCCCCAAAAAUUAAAAAAUACCAAAUGUAUGAAACCUCAGUUAUGUGUGAGCAUGGGCUGAUUAGUCAUUAGUCCAUCGAGAUGUCUUAUUUAAGAGGAAAGAGUGGACGGUUUUAGGUGAGAUGGUCCUGAAGUAAGAACCAGAUGUCUGAUAAAGUUCAUUAAUAGAAACCCCCACGAUUGAUGGGCCCGGAGCGAGAAGAGAGGUCCUUGCCAAGCGGGUUGCUGGUUUCACGCGGCAUGGUAAUUAAGCUCGCGAUCUAAUGGUGAUGAUACGCAUGUUGACUGGAGUAUAUUUAAUAUAAAUGUGCUAUGUACGAUCAAUAAUAAUAUGUACUAUGUAAUAUUAAUAAUAAUAUGUACAUGCUUAUAUGCAUGGGGACUAGCAAUUAAUGCACGACGUACAUAGGGUUAUAAUUACAUUUGAUCAUGGUUUUUUAAUGGUUUAAUUUUUGGAGUUACAUUCUUGAAUACAGUGAAUAAGUGGAAUUCUUCCCACAUAUAAUAACCUCACAUAAAACAGACUCCUAUGCACUCCCAAAUCUUCCAGUUUAUCUAUCAUUCAUUUUUUCACUUUUCCUUACACAAAUUGAUUUUCAGAUCCUUUUACUAGCUUGAUUCAUCCUUUUUAGAACUCAUUCGCUAUUGACAGAAUUCUGCCUACAUAAGUUUACCUGCUGUAACCUUUCUGAUCAUUCUAUUAUCAAACUUAAUCAUAAUCUCCUUACUGUGACAUCAUUUCUAUAUUGCCUCUUCUCUCACUGCUUUGGUUUCUUCAACUGACAAAUAGUACCAAUAAAUGCUAAUAAGCAUUUACCUUAGGGCUAUUA